UUUUUAAGUGUUUGAGUGGGGUAAAGAAAAGUUAACUGGAACCUAUUGUUAAAUGCUGUGAGAAAGUUUAUGGGAUUAGUUUGCUGGCUGGAUAAUUAAAAAAAAAAACACCACCCAAAGUUCUCAACUUUCUUUGAUUGAUCAUACAGUGACAUCUGAAGAGAACUCAAACAAGAUUCAAGCAUCCAGGCUACCAUGAUGAGGCUUGGAUCAUGGUUAUAAGAGGCUUGAUGAUGACUGGUACCUGUUUGAACGGUUACCAUGCUGCGUAAUGUGUUUGGCUGCGUUUCAGACAGAAGCACGGAGGCCAUGCGCCAUCAAAAAAUAAAAUUUGGAGCCCCAUUAUCCACUGCCCUAAAGAAUGGAUACCUUCCAAUACCUAUGGUUGAAUUACUUGUAUAUGUGGCAAGGGAAGGUCUCAACACGCGUGACAUAUUCCGACGGCCAGGAAAUCCGAACGAUACAAGGCGUGUUGUUAAGAGAUUAUCAGAGGGGAAGCCAGUUAUUUUCUCAAACUAUAGCUUCUAUACAUUAGCCUCUGUUAUAAAGAAAUUCCUGCUGAGUAUACCUGAAGGUGUGUUCUCACCGGAGGGGGAGGAAUCUUUGCUCAAAACACUCACCAUAGGACAUAAAAUGGAGCAGUACGAUGCUAUCCAUGAUUACAUCACAUCAUGCAGUCCCGCUCAUCAACAGCUUCUAUCACUCUUAUUUGGUAUCUGGUUUACCAUGGUUCAUAACUCACAACAAAAUUAUAUGUCCACUGAAGCCUUGUCUAGGAGUGUAGCUGGCAGUAUGUUCCAUACCUGUGCGAUGGAUCCUGCCAAGGUUGAGAAAGCAAGUAGAAUUAUGCAGCUGCUCAUUGACAACUUUGGAGUCGCACGAGUAUUUGGACAGCACAACAUCGAGUAUUUCGCGGAGGUCACGCACAUUGAGAUCCAUGUCAGAGAGACAUUCAAAUAUCAGUACAGUUAUCCAGCUGAAGACAUUUUACCUCGUCACCGAGUGCUUCAUGCAUUAGUUCUGUAUAUGUUAUCCGAGGGUAAACUGUCGGGAUUUAACCCGUUCACUCAUGCAAUAUCCGAGGAUGCGUAUAAAGAUAUGGCAUUUCCGCGACUGACUCGAACUAGGGAGACGGACCUUGCUCAAACCUCGGAGAGUCAGGAAGGUGACGGUAACCAGACCGAGGAGAAGAAUGGGCGGAGAGAGGAGGAGGAGAGUAAUUUACUGGUCACUUCCACCGUCUCUGUACCGGAAGUGUCACUAGUACCCUCUCCAGAAGUUACCAAGAGACCAAAGUCUGUAGAAGACAGUCUAAAUGAAGCUCACAACCAUACACUGCCGAAGCCCAGUCUUAGUCGCUAUAAUUCCGUCAAACGUAAACAACUUGAGCGACUAAGACAACGUUCCGAUUGGUUCCUGGGACCGAGCACCGUUAGUAACACUGUCAUUAACAUCAGCAGUCCUGUCAUCCACAUUGACCCGCCACCAAGUCCACCCACCAUACAUCAUGAACCAGUCCAGAAAAAAUCUUCAGGGAAUUCUGUAACACGCUCAUCUUCCGAAGGAGCAGUUCUCGACGGUUUUUCCGAUCAUGAUAGCAUUUAUAGUGACCAUUCAAGCCGUAGUGAAUCGCCGGCCUCAGAACCGGCGAGGACCAAUAACGCAGCAUUGUGUAUUCGGCGAGAUAUUGUGCAUUCGGAUACAUUAGAUAGUUUAACGGGCGAUCUUGAGGAUAGCAAUGGAAAUUGUGUGGGAUUAAGUGAAGACGAAAUGACAGAAUCAGAGAUAUGUUAUUUUAUGAUCGAACAUAAAUACGGUGAACCGCGGUCCUAGCAAAUAGUUUUUUUCGUGUUCGGAAACAUAAUAGGAUAGUGACUAUGAAGUGUAGAAUUCAUCACGGGGAAUUUAGUUUAUAGAAAAUUGGAUAAGGAAACCUACAUUAUAAAAGCCAAAUAGAAUAUCUGAAAAUUUGAGAGAGAAAAAAGCAUCAGCAAAGAUCAUAAUAAAGUUCUUUUUUAAAGAUUGAUGAAAUUUUAGGCUUUAAAUUUCAAAAUGUGUACAAAAAUGGCUCAGUAAAUAUAAAAUUUUUAGCAGACGAGUCUAAAAGUAGGUCUGAUCGUCUAAAGUUAAAUGACUAUGUAGUAUAUUAAUGGUGUUUCUAAGGUUGUAGCUCUCUACUUUUUUUGUAGUCGUACAAUUUUAUAAUGUGUCCAUUGAUCAGUGAUCGUAACAUCUUUCAUGUAGUUUACUUUUUAGGGAGGCUUCAAUAUGUUUCAGAUAUAUUUGAGCCGUGUCAUGACAAAACCAACGUAAUGCGUUUGCGAUCAGUAUUGAUCCAGACCAGCCUGCGCAUCCGCGUAGUCUGAUCAGGAUCCAUGCUGUUCGCUAUCAGUUUCUCUUCUUGUUAUAGGGUUUGUAAGCGAACAGCAUGGAUCAUGAUCAGACUGCGCGGAUGCGCAGACUGGUCUGGAUCCAUGCUGGUCUCAAACGCAUUAUGUUGGUUUUGUCGUUACACGGCUCAUUUUCUGUUGAAUUUCUUAUUUUCUUAUCAUUGAGGUGUUUCAUGUUGAUUGGUCACAUUGAGUGAUUGUGUAUUUAGUUAAUUUACACUAGCUUAUGACGUUAUGGAUAUAGAUGCAAACUUGGCUUUAAAGGCGAUUUAAAUUGAUAACUUUCCAUUUCUCAGUAAAAUAGUAGCCAUGCUGUUUAGAUCUACGCUAACUGUUUAGUGCUAGGCCAGUUGGUCAAAGUUCACUUAUUUAAUUGGAAAACAUCUCCAAAAAUUGUCAUGAUACAAUUUUUUAUACAAAACUGAAUAAAGGUUGUUUAGUAGUUAAAAACAGUUGAGAUAAAAUGCUGUUAUUUGAAAUGUAACUGCGUGAACAAGUAUUAGUUAAUGUAAUUUAUAUAAUUUUUAUAUGUAUGGUUAGAAUUAUAACCAACCUAUAAUUCGCUAAAUAUAAGUUUUCAAUAUAUCGUCUGGAGUAUAAUGAAAAUAGGGAUGUUAGAAAUGUUCACACAUUUAUCUUUAUGUAAUACUGAUUUUCUUAAAUUAUACAUACCGAUAAAUGCUCCGCAUGAACACAAAACUGUGUGUAUAUCGGGAUACUGAACAAUUUAUGUUAAUUUUAUAUUUAUGCAGUGAGUGCUAUAUAGUUUACAAGAUUUCCACUCAAAUAAUUUUUAAAAAAAGAUGAAAUAUUCAGAUAUUUCAUAUUUUUAUUUUGUGUUCACAUUAUGUAUAUAUUGAAAUUGAAUUGACUUAAAUUUGUCUCAAUGUCUUCAUAUAUUUGCUUCGGUUUUUUUUUUUGAAGAUAUAUGUCUACACAGAAUGGUUUUCCCCUUUUUUUUUCUACAAUGAACUGUAAUAUAUACUUUAUUGCCUAACAAUAUGCCUUAGGGACUUUUUUGACCAAGAUUUUUUGACAUAAUAGUUCUUUUUUGUGUUCAGUAUUUUACAUUAUAGAUUUUUAUUUUUUUGCCGUUUUUCAAUAUUUAUGUAUAGGGUGAGCUGCAAAGUUCUUGUGAAGGUCCAAAAGUUUCGAUUUCUCAUUUAAGGUCAGCGUUCAUUAAAGGGUCAAAGGUUGUGAGUCUUUGAAAUUUAUGCAAGUGUUGAAUUGGUUGAUCUGUUUCUGAAGUUGAAUUUACCGGCCCGAAUUUACUACUUAAUUAAUUGCAUUAGAGUCGCAUAUAUAUUUCAAUAUCUGAAUCUAGUCGUGAAAUAUUUAACCAUUUCCCCGCUGAAUUUGCAAAAUUGAUUUGCCCUGCUUUGAAUUUGAAACGGUCCAUUCAAUGUAUUAAGGGAUUUAAUUAUCUAAAAUUUAAAAUGGAGCUGCCACAACUUUAGAGCUUGGUCAGACCCCACAAAUGUGCAGGUUAGCCUGUCUCUAUACUGGUGGCAAAGACUUACCACAUUGGCUUUCAGCUGUCAAAGGUUAAAGUUGGCUGACUUGUACGGUAGUUCUACUUAUAAAAGUUGUGUAUUCGGCGCAACACUGAAAUUAACUUGGAAAACUUUGAAUUUUUAUUUUUUUUAAAUGGACCUUCUUUUCAUUUAUAUACUAAUGUAUUUUUUGUGUUAUUUAUUUUGUUUGUCUCGAAGAUUGUUUCUUACUGAAAGUCUAGUUUUCCUUUGGUGUAGUUUAUUAAUAUUAUUUAUAUACAUGUAUAUUUACACAAUUAAAUUUAAGGGUUGUCGACAAUGUCAAUGUUAUUUUUCGCUUUCCAAAGGUUGGACUUAAAGUGUUGUAUUUAAUUUACCUUAUGUAACGAUAUUUACUUUUAAUGAUAAAUUUGUAGAUUGUAUUUUGUUAUAUUUUUUCGACUUGAUUUUGAAUUUUUUAUUCUUUACUAAAGGAUGAAACUUUUGUUGACAUUUCUGACUUUAGUUUAAAAAGGAGGAAACAAACAUUUUAGGUGGCAAGUUAAGUGAGAAUCAGAUCUUUUUUUUUUUUUCUCACAUAAAUUUAGUGCCAAGUUUGAAGUUAUUUUUAUUACUUAGCUUAAUCUACUUAUCAAGGUAAUGAAGCUGAUAAACUAACAUUUUGUCGCUAUGUCCCUGACAUUGAGAGUAACAUUGACCUUGAAUGUGUCAAUGUGACCUUGACCUAGAUAUUUUUUUGUUACUAUAGUAUUAAGAAUGUCAGUUAGACCUUGGGGUUUAGAAAAAUGUCACAAUUUUUAUUGCUAAAUUUUGAUUAUUAACAUUUAUAUAUUACAUAUAUUAAGCUCUCUAAACUUUUCUUGAUGUAACUAUUUUAUCAAAAUUUAGUGCAAUAUUUAUUUAUUUAUGCUAAUAGUCACAUAUGUACCAUUUGAAAAAAAAAGCAAUAUAUGUUUAAAAAACAUGACAGAGUAUCCCUGAACUUUUUGACAAUAAAUGUAAUUAUGAACCCCUAUAAAUGUAUGAUCCUUAUUUCUUUUAAAGGAAUUUUUUUACUUAUUUUUUUGAAAACUGGGUAUUUGUGACCAGGUUGUAUUAUUUCUUUACUUCUGAAAAAGUUUCCUUGUUAUGUUGGUGAAUUUUCACUUGUUCUUUUUUCUAGUUAAAAUUCUUUCAGUUAAAUUGUUAACAGUUAGCCAUUUGUGUGUUUGUUUAAAGUUAUAGUUGAAUGUAAGUAAACUCAAAAUCAAGCAAGAAAAUUUAAAGAAAAAAAGCUACUUUAUAUUUUGAAUAAUUUGAUUUCUUAGUUUUUUGACAGACAGUCUUUUGUUUAGUCUGCAGGGCAAGUAAAUAAUGACAUAGUAACAAUAUCUGUUGAACUUCUGUGUGUAUACGUGUGUACAUGACAUAAUGCUGACAUCAUCAAUAUUUGUGAAGUUUUAUCUUGAACAUGUCAGUAGAAUGAACUCUGAAGGUUUUUUCCUAUUUUGUUAUCCUAGCUGUUGAAACUUUUUUGCUUUGCAAAAUUUGACAACUUGAAAUACAGAGCACUUUAAAAUAUUGAAUAUAAAUAAAAUAUAUGUAUUUGUAUGGAAUUUGUUUAUGAUAUUUUAUGAACAGUAAGUCUGUCCCCUAAGUUUAUUCCCAGUUUAUUCCUGGCAUUAUAAUUGCUGAUUUUUCUUUUUCUUUUAUAUAAUUCAUAUGUUAAGAUUUAAGAAACCUCGGUUUCUGGUUAAAUCAUACAUUACUAGUCAGAUAUAGCCUUUAUUCUUGUAUUACAUGAAUGAUCUAAAUUUGAAGGUCCCAAACAUUAUUUUAAAUAUCUGCUAUUCAUGUAUAACAUACUAACUAAUCUAUAAAAGUUCCGAAAUCUUGCUUAAUAAGAGACUAGUGAGAGGAAAGCUAUAAUUGUAAGGUUUUACUUAUGUUACACAGAAUUAAAGAAUUUCGUAAGUUAAAGAGAUGACCGUUUUAUAAAUAAAAUAUUGUAAAUUCAAAUAAUCUGCAUGUUACAAUUUCUUUAAUCGUGUUUUGCUGAGGUCUUCGGGGGAAAAAUGUGCCACCCUGUUAUAUAAAUAGUACAUUAAUAAAUUUUGUUUAUUAUUUGGCCUAUUUUGUUGGCCUUUCUGCUGUUGCUUCCAUAGACUUUUUGUAAGAAUGUAGGUGUAUUUAUUCUUGAUAUUUAAAUUCUCUCAUUCCAUUUGCAAUGCUAGAAUUUUUUUUUGACCUAUUUGUAUAUUUUUGCAAGAGAAGAUGGAUGGAUUAUAGCCACAUAUAUCUUCUGAAUUGAGUUAGCAAGUGUGAAAUAUGACUGCCGAAAGUUGUUUACAAUAGUUAUAUGCAAUAGACACAUGAACGUUUAUUCUUUUAUAAGUGUGUUAUCAAAAAGUUUGUGUAGGGAUUCUAGUUUUUAAUAAAGAAAUAUAAAUUUUAGUUUUGUGUAACACAAAUGUAAUUUUCACUAUAACAUAGCCACAGACUUGUUUACAGUAUUCAUUAUGUAAAAUAUACAUACAAAAGCUGAAAAUUUAGCUAAAUAUUUAAGUUUUCAGAAGUGUUAUGUUUUCUUUUGAAAUUUAUUUUAGUUGGGUAGAGAUUUGGGGUGGGGGUGGCAUUGAUUUUGAUAGCAUUGUUAUUAUUGUGAAUAUUUGUUUUAUUAGUAAUUACUUCUUUCUUGCAUUGAUAAAUUCAGUACAGCAGUAUGUUGUUGUUGUUUUUUUGCAUUGGGUAUACCUGCAUAUUAUAUACUGCCACUUGUGAAAUAUUUAUUUUCAUACCACCCGAUGAAAAUAAAUCCUGUAUUUAUAGAAAAAACUUGAAUAUCCUCUAUAUAUUAAUUCAUGCACAGUAACUCUGACCUGUUAAAAUUGUAAGCCGUAAAUAACGAAACUAGUCUGACCAGUUUCUUGUUUCUUGUUCAAAUGAUUUUUUUUUAUUGGACAGUUAAACAAAUGAAAAAGUUAUUUUUUUCCCCUUAAACUCUGGUAUGUUUUGGUUAACCUAGUCAGUGUCUCUUUUUCAAGACUUUUAAAUGUUGUUUUUUUUUUUUUUUGAAGCAUUUACUGCAGUAAAUUAUCUUGUAUUUUAUAUUAUCCUUUACCUAUUUUAUUUUACCAAUUGACAGAUUUUCUUCUACUGCAAUUGCACAAAUAGCUUCCAGUUCAUAUAAUAUUAUGUUUACUUAGCUCCGAAUUUGCACAUUGCAGCAGUCUAAUGCAAAAACUACAAUGAAAGUUAAAAUAGGUGAAGUAAGGAAGCUAUCCACUACUCGGGUGCCCGUUCAUGCCUGAAAUAAUACAAGGUAGGGCACCUGAGGUCUUCCGCCAGCAGUAAAGCUGGAAAGUCACAAUAUGAACUAUAUACUGUGUUGGUGCAAAGUAAAACCCAACCAAACAAAAAACAAAAACAAAAAAAGAUGAAAACUUUUUACAGGACUAAAUGAUAUGGUCAAUAUGUGUUGUAUAAUGGUAGGCCCUGAUAAAUCAUAAUGAAGAGAUACAUGGUGAAUUGUGAAGAAGUAAAUACUGUCAAAAGGAAGAUAAAAUAGGAAAAGAAUAAACAAAUGUCUCAUACUUCAGAUAUCCAGGGUCUAAUUGAUUAUUUUAGAUAUAAAGCAUUUUUUACACACCUUGUGAAAAUAAUUUUUUGUUGAUGUUAUUUUUUUUUAAGUGGCCAAUUUCAUAUGUCCCGAAAGAUAUGUUUCAAUUUUUUUUUCCUUUUAUAUUUCAUGAUAUUGAUAAAGUUUGUGACAUGCACUUGUGCUACUAUGAAGUUGUAAUAAUCCAUUGAAAGUUUUUAGGUAUCUAGCCCUUAACCAACAGGAAGUUAUUAGUCAUUGCCACCAGUAUAGAGCCACUGGCCAGUUUUCACUUCCCUGCAGUCCAACCAGGCUCUUUACUGUCGGUAACAUGAUUUUUGUACUUUGAUAUUGAAAUCCCCUAAACUUUGAAUGGACUGUUCCAUUUUCAAGUCAGGGCAAACACAUAAAUUUGGGAGAUGAAGCCAGAAGGGUUUAGUGCUUAUAAGUGAAGCAGCUAACGGUAUAGAGCCUGGACAGGUGUUCAGGCUGACCUGGCCCUAUAUACUUAUAUGGCUUUGACAAAAUCUUUCUUUUCACAAGUUAAAAGAAAAAAUUACUGACACCCGAAAAGCGAUAAUUAACUGUUUAGAGUCGUUGAUAGCAGUGAGUUUAAAAUACAGUUUGUUUUUUGUUGACAAUGUUAAAUAGUUCAUGAUGCUUUUAAUUAUUACUUAAGUUUGUAAAAUACUAGAAUUGUUGCUGUUGUUGUUGUGUUUUUCUUUUGCAGGACUUUCAAUAGGGCUUACAUUAUGUGGUUUCUGCUAAUGAUGAUUUUGUUACCAACCUAAAUACUGAAUGAUUCAGACUUUAGGCAGACAUUGUACAAUUUGUAUUUUCAUUUUUUUCUAUAUGUAUAUAUAUUUAUUAACUACUGUGUUCCAAGAUGAGUUAAUGAUCACAAUAAAUGUAUUCUGUAUUUUCCAGAAUUUUUUCGAUAUAGUUCUAUAAGAUUGAACACAGAUCAUAUUUUGCAGGCUGUUCAGUAGCUUUUUAGGGGAAAAAAUCCUAGGAAAAGUUUCUUUAGAAAACUAAGAAACAUAGAAGGGAAAAAAUACUAGUUUUUGGCAUAAAACUAGGUUAAGUAUGUGCACCUGAUCAUUUGAUGACAUUUACAUUACAACUUUAUAAUGUCGACCUCUUUUUAGGCCAUUUUUUACAAUGCAUAAUCUUUUUCUUUCAAUUCAUGCAGUAAAAUUUAAUGAUCAAAAAUAAUGGUUUCCUACUUACUCAUAGAGAAAGUACAAUGUGUUAACACUAGGAAAACAAGAAUUUUCUUGAAAAUAAAAAAAGAAACUAGUAAAGUCUGGAGAAAACGGCAAGAAAAAUAUAAAUGCUGGAGGGCCUGUCAUCCUGUUCUUGCUUACAUAAUGUGUAAAACAAUCAAAAUGUUCACAAAAAGUUAUUUGAUGCUUUUUUUAGAUUUCAAUUGCAAGUUGUUGUAUUAAUAUUGUACGAGGUUAUUGUAUGAAUGGUAUAGGAGGAGUUUGUUUGAUGUUCUUUCCAUUUUUUAACCCUUAACCUGCUGGAACCAAGUGAUCAGCCUUUGCCACCAGUAUAGAACCAGGCCAGCAUACACUUUUGUGCAGUCAGACCAGGCUCUAUACUGUUGGUAGCUGAAUUUGUGUAUUUAGAUAUUCAAAUCCCUGUUAAAGGAACUCCACUGAGGUUCACAAGCCUAAAAACAGAUAAAUUUGAAUUGCUUAAAAAUAUCAGCUGGAGCACUUAAAACUUAAUAGAAAGAUAUGAAAAGAUGAUCUAAAAAUAUACUCAGAAAUGAAUUAAAUAUUUUUUUUUUGUGCUAUUCUUAGCCCAAUUUGAGUGAAAAGCUUUGCAAAGCUGUUCAGUGUUUACUUUUAGGAUUUUUCAAAAUUAGAAUAAUUAUUCUGGAAAGACGGAGAGGCAAUGAUUUGAAAUUUUGCACACAAGUUAUUGGUCUAGACCUACAUAAAAUGGAGCAUUAAUCUCGAAAAAUCAUUUCCAGUCCCAUGUCAUAAAAACCUCAGUGGAGUCCCUUUAAUGAACCAUUCCAUAUUAUUCGAAACUGGGCAAGUUCAAUUAACAUAUUUCCGCAGGUUAAGGGUUAUUUAUAUCUCUGAUCACUGGAUAUUUUUUUUCUUUGCUUUCAAUCAUCAUUGUUUUUAAUCAUUCUAGAACUGUAUAUGAUAAAAAAAAUGAUUAUGUAAUAUAUGUUUCUCUUUUAACCCCUAACCUGCUGAAUUUCUAAAUACGGACUUGUUCCAGCUUCCAUUAAUGGAACAGUCCAUUUUCAAUUUUUCGGGGAUGUCAAGAUCGAAAAAUUUUAGCCGGCGAACAGUCUAGAGCCUUGUGGGAUUGCACAGAUGUGCAGGCUAGCCUGGCUCUAUACUGGUGGCAAAGGUAAAUCACUUUAGAUUCUAGCAGGGUAUGGGUUAAUUAUUUUUAAGUAAAUUCUUUAAACACUAAA